AUCCUUUGGGAAACAAUGAGUCUGAGCUAUCAGCGGGCAGAUGUGGGAAUGGAUGUGACGAUUUGAGGUCCCCCUUACGGGGGUGCUACUGGACAUCAUAGGAAUAAGUGAGUCACCCAGACAGAGGGUGACGAGUCAGAAGGGAAGACAACGACGCUGUCAACCUUCAAGGGUUUAGGAACACUGCAAACAAGGCUACCUGCCGUCGUUCCUGGCCAAAGGAAACAGAACGGAAGAGCCUCUGUUCCCCAGAAGUGGUCACUUAGGGUUGCCCUGAUCUGGGAAGGUUCUGUGCGGAGGUGGCCUCGUGAGGUGCGCUGUGGCA
rnacentral:lncRNA from 1 species